AAUCUCUUAGAAAUAAGAGAGUGCCUCAUUAGAGGAGCCUGGUGACAGGUGCUGCAUGGCUGUCGUCAGCUCGUGUCGUGAGAUGUUGGGUUAAGUCCCGCAACGAGCGCAACCCUUGCCUUUAGUUGCCAUCAUUAAGUUGGGCACUCUAGAGGGACUGCCGGUGUCAAACCGGAGGAAGGUGGGGAUGACGUCAAGUCCUCAUGGCCUUUAUGACCAGGGCUACACACGUACUACAAUGGCAUGUACAAAGGGCAGCCACUUCGCAAGAAGGAGCGAAUCCUUAAAACAUGUCUCAGUCCGGAUUGGAGUCUGCAACUCGUCUCCAUGAAGUUGGAAUCGCUAGUAAUCGUAGAUCAGCAUGCUACGGUGAAUACGUUCCCGGGCCUUGUACACACCGCCCGUCACACCACGGGAGUUGGUUGUACCAGAAGUAGUUGAGCGAACCUUUCGAGGACGCAGACUACCAAGGUAUGGCUGGUAACUGGGGUGAAGUCGUAACAAGGUA
rnacentral:rRNA from 1 species